rnacentral:rRNA from 1 species
CCUACGGGGGGCAGCAGUGGGGAAUAUUGGACAAUGGGCGAAAGCCUGAUCCAGCCAUGCCGCGUGUGUGAAGAAGGCCUUCGGGUUGUAAAGCACUUUCAGUGGGGAAGAAAGCCUUGGGGCUAAUACCCUCGAGGAAGGACAUCACCCACAGAAGAAGCACCGGCUAACUCCGUGCCAGCAGCCGCGGUAAUACGGAGGGUGCGAGCGUUAAUCGGAAUUACUGGGCGUAAAGCGCGCGUAGGCGGUCUGAUAAGCCGGUUGUGAAAGCCCCGGGCUCAACCUGGGAACGGCAUCCGGAACUGUCAGGCUAGAGUGCAGGAGAGGAAGGUAGAAUUCCCGGUGUAGCGGUGAAAUGCGUAGAGAUCGGGAGGAAUACCAGUGGCGAAGGCGGCCUUCUGGACUGACACUGACGCUGAGGUGCGAAAGUGUGGGUAGCAAACAGGAUUAGAUACCCGAGUAGUC